UACGUAGGGUGCAGGCGUUAAUCGGAAUUACUGGGCGUAAAGCGUGCGUAGGCGGUGUGUCAAGUCAGGCGUGAAAGCCCCGGGCUCAACCUGGGAACGGCGCUUGAGACUGGCACGCUCGAGUUCGGGAGAGGAUGGUGGAAUUCCCAGUGUAGAGGUGAAAUUCGUAGAUAUUGGGAAGAACACCGAUGGCGAAGGCAGCCAUCUGGACCGACACUGACGCUGAGGCGCGAAAGCGUGGGGAGCAAACAGG
rnacentral:rRNA from 1 species